GAAAGAAAGAAAACCAAAUACCGUAUGCUAACACAUAUAUAUGGAAUUUAAAAAAAAAAAAGGUCAUGAAGAAUCUAGGGGCAAGAUGGGAAUAAAGACACAGACCUACUAGAGAAUGUACCUGAGCACACGGGGAGGGGGAAGGGUAAGCUGGGACAAAGUGACAGAGUGGUAGUGUAUAUAUGGACAUAUAUACACUACCAAAUGUAAAAUAGAUAGCUAGUGGGAAGCAGUAGCACAGCACAGGUAGAUCAGCUCGGUGCUUUGUGACAAGCUAGAAAGGUGGGAUAGGGAGGGUGGGAUGGAGAUGAAAGUGGGAGCAGAUAUGGGGAUAUAUGUAUAUGUAUAAGUGAUUCACUUCGUUACACAGCAGAAACUAACACACCAUUGUAAAGUAAUUAUACUCCAAUAAAAAUGUAAAAAAAAAGUGUCAUUAGCAAUAAUAUAAAAAUAUGGAUAAAUUUUCAAAGGAUACGAAAGACUUGUACACUGAAAACUAUAAAAUACUGCUGAGAAAAAGAAGAUAGGUAAAUGGAGAGAUAUACCUUCUUUAUGAUUGAAAGACUCAAUAUUAUUAAGGUGUCAAUUCUCCCCAAGUUUAACUACAGAUUAGGUGCAGUACUAACCAAAAUCCCAGCAAGCUUUUUUGAAAACAUUGUCUUACUGAUUCUAAAAUUCACAUAGAAAUUCAAAGAACUAGAACAGUCAAAAUAACUCUGAAAAAGAAGAACAAAUUUGGAAGGCUAAUGCUACCUAAUCAUAAGAGUUAUUAUAAAGCUACAGUAAAUCAAAACAGUGGUUUUUUUGUUGUUUUGUUUUCGGUCACACCUUAUGACCUGUGGCAUCUUAGUUCCCCAGUCAAGGAUCGAAGUUGGGCCAUGGCAGUGAAACCACUGAGUCCUAACCGCUGGACCGCCAGGGAAUUCCCAAAACAGUUUUUUUUUAAUAUAAAUUUGUUUAAUUUGUGGGGGGGCGCCUACGUUGGUUAUUCGUUGCUGCGCAUGGGCCUUCUGUAGUUGCGCCGAGUGGGGGCUGCUCUUUGUUGUGGUGUGCGGGCUUCUCGUGACUUCUCUUGUUGCGGAGCACCAGCUCUAGGCGCGCGGGCUCUAUAACUCAGGCUCAGUAGUUGUAGCACCGGGGCUUAGUUGUUCUAUGGCACAUGGGAUCUUCCCAGACCAGGAAUCAAACCCGUGGCCCCUGCAUUGGCAGGCAGAUUCUUAACCACUGCGCCACCAGGGAAGUCCCAACAGUUUGGUUUUGACAUAAAGAUAGGCACAUAUAUCAAAGGAACAGUAUAGAGUCCCAAAAAACCCCACACAUGUAUAGACAAUUGAUUUUUAACAGAGGCAUAAAGGCAAUUUAUUGGAGAAAGGAUACCAUUCCAACAUUGGUGCUUAGACAGUUGGACAUCCAUAUGCAAAAAUAAACAAACUUGGAUCCAUAUCUCACACCAUACAGAAACUAACUCUAGAUGAAUCAUAGACCUAAAUGUCAAACCUCAAAUUAUAAAAUUUCUAAAAGAAAACAGAAGAAACCCUUUGUGACCUUGACUUAGGCAAUAAAAGCACAGAACAAACUGAUAAAUUGGACUUCAUCAAAAUUAAAAACUCCUGCUCCUCAAAUGACACUGUUAGGAAAAUGAAAAAGCAAAGCAUAAUGUAGGAGAAAACCAUUGCAACGCAUAUAUGUGAUAAAGAACUUGAAUCAAGAAUAUGUAAAGAACUCUCAAAAAUCAAUAAGAAAACAGCACAAUUUUUUAAAUGAGUAAAGGAUUUGAACAGGCAUGUCAUCAAAGAAGAUAUCUGCAUGGCAAAUAAGAACAUGAAAAACUGGCUCAACAUCAUUGGUCAUUGAGGAAAUGCAAAUAUAAAAUGGAACAAGAUUCCACUACACACACACCUAUCAGAAUAGCUAAAGUUAGAAAGACUGACCAUAUCAAAUAUUGGCAAGGAUGCAUUUUGCUUUCUUCUUGGUGGUGGGAGGUGCAAGAUGCAAUAAUUUGUCUUCUGUUUUGGAGGUGAUGUCCCAGACUACUGGACCCCUAAAAGUUAUAUUGAUGUGGUGGCCCCCAAAUCUUCAUAGGAUUUUUCUCCCAGCCAUUGUAGCACAUGACAAAGACUCCAUCAUGCUAGCCAUUUAUUGCUUAUUUGGUCCAAUUAAUAUGAUGUCAUCAAUAUAGUGGACCAAUGUGGUAUUCUGAAGAAUGUCCAGAUUACUUGGAUCUCUUUAUUUUAUAGUUUGACCGAAGUCAUGAGAGUUAAGAUAGCUUUGGGCAAAACUGUAAAUGUGUACUGUUGUCCAUUUCAAAUGAAUGUGAACUGUUUUUGAGAUUAAGGAUUGUCUAAUGUUUACAAACUCUUUUAACCCUGUUGUAAUAUGCAAAGCAUCUGUUCAUUUAGUUCACACUGUUUAACCCUAGUAUAUGACCGAACAUAAGUCAGCAUAUCCAAGUACCCCAUAUGGUAGAGACAAUUUUUGGUCAUUUUAUCCCUAAUACAAUCUAAUUUCUGCCUCACCAGACAGCACUCACAACUAUGUACAUCUCAGAGAGAAAACUUGUAUGUAUACUCCAUCGAAGUACAAUAAUUUUCCAUGCUUUUUUUAAAUUGAGAAAAUGGUUUGUAUCUAGAGAACUGGUGUUCAGAUCAAAGUGCUCUCUCAACAGCAAUUUAUUGAAUCCUCUCUAUAUGCCAAAACCUGUGGGUAGAAAUAGAAUGUACAGAAAUAAAUGAGAUAAUGUCUGCCUUUGGGAGGCUCUCAAAGUAACUGGAGAAACACUUCAAACAGUUAAGGGGUAGUACUGUAUUGAACAUACUGUAAAGAUGGGACCAGAAUGCUAAGGGAAAAGGAAGUAACUCCUCAUGCCUGGAGGAGUUUAGGAAGGACAUGGUACAUAAGUUGAGCACUAAAUAGUAACUAUUUAUCUGACGAAAAAGGGGGCAGGUGAGGGCAUUUCCAGGCAGUGAACAUUAGCCCUAUUAGUGAGUUUGUUAGUAACUUUGGAGCAUACUUGAAGCCAAGAGGGUUGUUCUCUCCUUUCCUACAGAGAACCAAAGCAAGUGGUUAGACAGCUUUAUGUGCUAGGUUAUGAAAAUCUGAAUCUAGGUUAUAGACUUUCAACAAUGGAGCAGCUGCUAGCCAAGGCAGGGGCUAAGGCGAAAGACUGCCUGAAAUCAUUCCUUUUUUUUUUUUUUUUUUUUUUUUUUGCGGUACGCGGGCCUCUCACUGUUGUGGCCUCUCCCGUUGCGGAGCACAGGCUCUGCAGCCAGGCUCAUCGGCCAUGGCUCACGGGCCCAGCCGCUCCGCGGCACGUGGGAUCUUCCCGGACCGGGGCACGAACCUGUGUCCCCUGCAUCGGCAGGCAGACUCUCAACCACUGCGCCACCAGGGAAGCCCUGAAAUCAUUCUUAAAUACGUGCUCAUGUGAGAAUGUCUGGCUUCCUAGGGUUUGUACUGUCUAGGGUGGUGUAAUAACCCAGCCAUCAGGAAUGAGCCUCCCAUUCCCUUGGAAUACAUUUUCACAGCUUUAAAAUUUUUUUACUCCUUUACAAAUUCAUGAAGAAUGAGGAACCCAAUGACAAUUUAGAGUUGGGCUCCUUGGUGGAGUGAGGGCUGCUUUUUUUCUCAAAGGAUGCUUAACAACCCUUGAUAGUUUGGGGCAUCACAAUUGAAUGCUGGCAAAGUAAAUUUUUUUAAAAUGUUGAAAACAUGAUUCAUACAAACACAGAAUGAACAUAUGUCAAGAUUUAUUAACUUAUUAAUAAGGGAGCCAGUAAGUUAAAGCUGGUUAUAAGAGCAUGUUGAGGAACUGGGUAUUCAUAGACAUUUAUAAAAGAAAACUAGGAGUAAAAAAGGAAUGUUAGAAUUAAAACGUUAGAUUAGAUAUAAAACUGGUUCAUAUCCAGGAGGGCAUUCAAACUGUUCCCUUUGGGGUUAUCUUUUCUGCUGGAUAAUAUCUAGCAUAUAACUUCAGAGUCUAAGCCUAUACUUGAUAGUAAUAACAAUGCUACAUUCCCUUAGGUUAGGUAAUGAAUUAACUCUUAGAUGAGACCACCAUCCAUCCCCAGUAAUGCAUUGAAAGUACAUGCCACCUACCUUCUUGCCUUUUUUCCAAGUAAUUUUUCUUAACAACAUUUCAUAUUUCUUCAGCCAGGCAUUUGAGUUCUCUUCCCCCACCCAGCCCACAUCUGUCCCAGCAUGCCUUUUUAACUCCAGCUGCCCUCUACACCUUACCAUCCAUGUAUACCACUCUCUUCUACUUUAGAACUAUUGUCCACCUUCUCCCAUCAACCAAAGACCCUGCCGUUCAUUGCCAGAGGUCAGAGUACAACUUAUCCUUCAAGGGCAAGUGCACUUGGCACUCUCUCCUCAGAAUCAGUGCUGUAAUAAAUUGAAUCACCCUUGACACCCUUCCAAAUUACUUAGUACCAAUCUUUCUUGGCUGGUCUAAAAAAAAUGGUUUCUUGGGAUUUCACUAUUUUAUAUGCUUGGAACCUCUCUAGAGACAGCCUGCUGAAAAACUAAGUCUUCAGCUAUUAAGGCAUUUGGUCCUGUUUAAUUGGAUUUGAUGGCUUGGGCACACCUGCACUAAAGCUUUCAAAUGAAAUGCGCGUUCUGUUGCAUGAGCCUAAUUUAAAACUGGCCCAAGGGGACAUUUUGUACAAUUGGUGGAAAUUUUGUGAUAUCAUGUUGAGACUUAAAAUGACUAAAUUCAGCUUUGACAGAUAUUUUUUCUUUUCUUUUUGGCUGCAUUGGGUCUUCGUUGCUACACGUGGGCUUCUCUCUAAUUGCGGAGAGCAGGGGCUACUCUUCAUUGUGUGCGCAGGCUUCUCAUUGCGGUGGCUUCUCUUGUUGCGGAGCACGGUCUCUAGGCACACUGGCUUCAAUGGUUGUAGUUCGCAGGCUCUAGAGCGCAGGCUCAGUAGUUGUGGCACACAGGCUUAGUUGCUCUGCAGCAUGUGGGAUCUUCCCGGACAAGGGCUUGAACCCAUGUCCCCUGCAUUGGCAGGCAGAUUCUUAACCACUGCGCCGCCAGGGAAGCCCUUGACUGAAUUUUUUUUUUUUUAACAUCUUUAUUGGGGUAUCAUUGCUUUACAAUUUGACUGAAUUUUUGAUGCAAAAAAAAAAUCAAGGAACUUUGGAAAUUGGGCCACAAAAAGGAUGAUAUACCAUUAAUUCUGGCAGUUGAUAAUGGGACAACUGCAUAUCCACAUGCAAAAGAAUGAAUUUGUCAUACUAAGUGAAGUAAGCCAGACAAAGAUAAACAUCAUAUGAUAUCGCUUAUACAUGGAAUCUAAAAAAAAUGAUACAAAUGAACUUAUUUACAAAAUAGAAAUAGACUCACAGACAUAGAAAACAAACACAGUUACCAAAGGGAAAAGAGGGGUGAGGGAUAAAUGAGGCGUUUCAGAUUAAAAUGUACAAACUACUAUAUAUAAAAUAGAUAACCAACAAAGACCUACAACAAAGACCUAUAGUUCCCUAUAGCACAGGGAACUAUACUCAAUGUCUUGUAAUAACCUAUAAUGGACAAAAUAACGUAAAAAAAGAAUAUAUAUAUUUAUGUAUAUGUAUAAGUGAAUCACUUUGCUGUACAUCUGAAACUAACACAACGUUAUAAAUCAACUCUAUUUCAGUAAGGAAAAAUUUUAAUGCAAAAAAAAAAAAAAGAAAGAAUGAAUUUGGACUACUAUCUCACAAAAUUAACUCAGAAUGGACCAAAGACCUACAUAAAACUGUAAAACUCUUAGAUGAAAACAUAGGUGUAAAUCUUCAUGACCAUGAAUUUGUCAAUGUUUUCUUAGAUAUGGUACCAAAAGUACAAGUAAAAGAAAAAAAAACUGGACUUCAUCAAAAUUUAUAACUUUUGUGCUUCAAAGGACACCACCAAGAAACUGAACCCACAUAUAGGAGAAAAUAUUUGCAAAUCAUAUAUCUGAUAAUAGACAUGUAUCUAGACUAUAUAAACUCUUACAACUUAAUAAUGAAAGAUAACCCGUUAAAAAUGGACAAAGGACUUGAAUAGACAUUUCUACAAAGAAGAUAUUAAAGUGGCUAAUAAGCACAUGAAAAGACACUCAGCAUCAUUAGUCAUUAUGGAAAUGGAAAUCAAAACCAAAUGAGAUACUACUUCAUACCCCCUGGGGCGGCUGUAAUAAAAAAGACAGAUAAUAACUGUUGUUUAGAAUGUGGAGAAAUUGAAACCCUUAUACACUGCUGAGGGAAGAUAAAAUGGUAGAGCCACUUUGGAAAACAGUCUGGCAACUACUCAAAAGGUUAAACGUAGAGCUACUAUUUGACCCAGCAAUUCCACUCCUAGGUAUAUACCAAGAGGAAUGUAUAUGUAUGUCUACACAAAAGCUUUUAUUUGGGUCAUAACAACACUAUUCAUAAUAGCCAAAAAGUGGAAACAAUCCAAAUUUCCAUCAGCUGAAGAAUGGAUGAACAAUUGUGGUAUACCCAUCAAUUAAAUGUUAUUCCUCUAUAAAAAGGAAUGCAAUACUGAUACGUGCUACAAUAAUAGAUUAACCUUAAAAACAUGCUAAAUGAAAGAAGUCAGUCACCAAACACCACAUAUUGUGUGAUUUCAUUUAUGUAAAGUGGCCAGAAUAGGCAAAUCUCUAGAGACAGAAAGUAGAGUGGUAGUUGCCUGUGGCUGGGGGAGAUAGAAUGAGGAAAUGGGGAGCAACUGCUAAUAAGUUCAGAGUUUUUAAGAGGGUAACAAAAUGGCCUAAUAUUAGAUUGUGGUGAUGAUUGCACCACACUAUGAAUAUACUAAAAAGAGUUGAAUAGUUGUGAUAGAGACCAUGUGGUCCACAAAGCCUAAUAUAUUUAGUAUUGAGCUCUUUACAGGAAAGUUUGCCAAUUUCUCCCUUAUAGUAAGUUUUAAAUUGAAAUGUGUGAGUCCUCCAACUCUUUUCUUCUUUGUAAAAAUUGUUUUGGCUACCCUGGGUCCUUUGCAUUUCCAUAUAAUUUUUUUUUUUUUUUUUGCGGUACGCGGACCUCUCACUGUUGUGGCCUCUCCGGUUGUGGAGCGCAGGCUCCGGACACACAGGCUCAUCGGCCAUGGCUCACGGGCCCAGCCGCUCCGCGGCAUGUGGGAUCUUCCCGGACCGGAGCACGAACCCUUGUCCCCUGCAUCGGCAGGCAGACUCCCCAGGCGGACUCCCAACCACUGCACCACCAGGGAAGCCCAUCCAUAUAAAUUUUAAGAUCAGCUUGUCAGUUUUUCCAGAAAGGUCUGCUGGAUUUUGAUAGUGAUUGUGUUAAAUUUAUAAGUCAAAUUGAGGAGAUCAUUUUUUAAUUAAUCUCAAAUUGUCUGAUAUUUUACUGGUGAAAACCUCUUCAACUGUCUUAUGUGUCCUUUUGAUAAGAACUAUAUAAUUUUUGACCACUGCCUUGCUUUCUGGCAUAAAUUAUUCAAGCUCAUUUCAUAAUUGUUCUUGUCACAGCCAAGGAGUUCUGGUUCUUUCAGUGGAGUCAAUAUUUUGGUUCUUGCUACAUUGCUAUUGGGGAUGUUACUGCUCCAAAGCCCUCUCAGUGCACAGAGCUAGGGUAUAUUUGAAUAUAAAUAAAUAGAUACAUACAUAAGUAAAUCCCCUAUAUACACACACAUACACAUUUAUAUCUAUUUAUUAUUUAUGUCAUUGUAUGUGUAUAUUUGUUUUCUUUUUUUUUUUUUUCCGGUACGCGGGCCUCUCAUUGUUGUGGCCUCUCCCGUUGCGGAGCACAGGCUCCGGACGCGCAGGCUCAGCGGCUGUGGCUCACGGGCCCAGCCACUCCGCGGCAUGUGGGAUCUUCCCCGACCGGGGCACGAACCCGUGCCCCCUGCAUCGGCAGGCGGACUCUCAACCACUGCGCCACCAGGGAAUCCCUGUAUGUGUAUAUUUGUAUAUUAUAUAUGUAUAUACCUAUAUUAACAUUCAUGAGUAGUUCACACUGAAUCUGCUAGUUCUAAUCCAAUACCGCAGAGUUCUUCCAGUUUUCUUCAUUUCCAUAUUUGUUACUCCCUUCUUUGCAAUGAGAAACCUGGCUUACAUAUUCUGUGAUAUACCUAUAUGUUUAUAUAUUUUAUAUAAAUAGAUAGUUAUAGCUGUGUCUGUAUCUAUACACUAUAUACUGUAUUAGUCUAUAUAUAUUUAUGUAUGGUAGGAUUGGACUUUCCACCAUCUCUGUGACUAUCAGAGACAGACUGUCUUCUUUCCUCAUGUUCUAACUGGGACCCCAAGCGGUCAAGGAACAUUCCCAAGAUCAUUCUAUUAGUGAUGGACACAGGCCUUGCUGAACACAGGCCUCCCCACCCCCUGAUGGGUUUGAUUGUUUCCUGUGAUUCCACAGCAAGCAUAGACCUGACUCCGAGUAGGAGGAUGUCUUAGGUUGGCUGCCCUUGAAACAGACUCUGAGCUGCAGAGAGUUUGUUCCACAAACUUGUACAGCAAGUCUGUUAGAGAACAUGCUCAGUAGACACAACUGUAAGGGGCAAAGGAGACAGAACUGGGCAGAAAGAGAAGCCAACCAAGGUUGGAAAUGAGACCUCAGAUCACCCUACAAGCAGAUCUGGAGCUGGGGUAGCCCCCGAAGUUGACUCAAGUUGUGAGAUGAGGAGCUGGCUUUUUUAUCUCCACAUCAGCCCACCAUGGGCUAUGGGCUGGCCCCUGGAACGGGUCAUAGCCUGCAUGGCCAGUUCCCUGUAGCUGAGGGCAGUUUCCAGUGAGAAGUGCAGCUAUGAACUGUCAACAAUUAAUACAGCAGCUGAGGGAUGGGUGCGUCAGCUCUGAAGAGGGGAUGGGAUAGAGCCCCACAGAAUCCACUAGAGGGAAAGAAGUCUAGCCUGCAGGCAGUGAUGUCAGACAAGUAUUCAGCAUCGCACAGGAGGUGGAGCUCAAGGAGCAGAAUCAGAACAGGCAAGGACAGCUGGCAUUUUGGCGCUAGAAACGGGUCCUGGGAACAGCUUACUGGGCAUGAAGAGAGCACAUGGUGUGAGAAGGUUCUGAGCUGGACCUUUUACUUCAGGCCUGUGUGUUUAGGGGCUGAAUGGUCCAAGUAAAAAGAAAUCGCAGGAUCUCUCUGAGUUGCUUCCUUUCAGUUCAUCAACUUCAAGUGGCAGUUGUGAUUUAGUUAUGUGUUGCUUUCCUCCUUGAGUAUUGAACUUAAGACAGUUGAUAAAUUGACCUCAUAAAAAAAUAUAAGCUCAAGGGGAAUUCCCUGGCUGUCCAGUGGUUAAGACUUGGGCUUGGGACUUCCCUGGUGGUGCAGUGGUUAAGAAUCCAUCUGCCAAUGCAGGGAACACAGGUUUGAUCCCUGGUCCGGGAAGAUCCCACAUGCCACGGAGCAACUACGCCUGCGUGCCACAAUUACUGAGCCUGUGCUCCUAGAGUCCAUGCUCCACAACAAGAGAAGCCCCCGCUCGCCGCAACAAGAGAAAGCCUACACGCAGUAACCAAAACCCAACACAGCCAAAAAAAAAAAAAAAAAAAAGACUCGGGCUUUAACUGCCGUGGACCCAAGUUCAAUCCCUGGUUGGGGAACUAAGGUCCCACAAGCUGUGCAGUGUGGCAAAAAUAUUCUGAUUUUUACAAUGGAGUCUUAGUCUGAGACUGGUUAUGAUCCUUGGAUACUUCUACCAGCCACUUAAAGACAACAUAAAAUUGUGUUGAUGCUACUCUGAGGUCAGCUCAGCCCACAGGUAAGUCCUAGAAGGAGGUACUUUUCUGUUCUAGUCAGGAGUCUUUGUCUUCUGUGGGAUUUGUGCCUAUUCUCCCCGUAUCACAUGGGGUUCACUUCCUUCUUGUGCUGAAUCCACUUGUGUUUAAUCCAUUGACUAUUCUCUCAGCCCCUCUCUGCAUUAACUCUGUUCCAUGGGAGAGCCCAGAGGACACUCCUUUUAUCAAAGCAGUCAAGAAUGCACUAUAGGGACUUCCCUGGUGGCUCAGUGGUUAAGACUCCGCACUCCCAAUGCAGGGGGCCCGGAUUCAAUGCCUGGUCAGGGAACUAGAUCCCACAUACAUGCCACAGCUAAGAGUUCUCAUGCCACAACUAAGGAACCGGUGAGCUGCAACUAAGGAGCCCACCUGCCGCAACUAAGACCCAGCACAACCAAAUUAAUCAAUCAAUCAAUUAAUUAAUUUUUUUUAAAAAAGAAAAGAAUGCACUGGCGAGGGGCUUCCCUGGUGGUCCAGUGGUUAAGACUCUGUGCUUCCAAUGCAGGGGGUGUGGGUAUGAUCCCUGGUCAGGGAACUAAAAAUCCGAUAUGUCUCGCAGAGUGGCCAAAAAAAAAAAAAAAAUGCACUGGUGAGAGAGACACCAGCAUCAAGGAAAAACAGUGGUGACUGGUCUACGGAGGCUGGGGCUAACAGUAGGAGAUGCUCUUAGACUAUCAGCUUCAUCAUAGGUUGCAAAGAUAAUAGAGGUCAAGUGGUAUAGCACUUAACUCUAAGAAGAAAAGUGAGUACAAUUAUUUUAAUUAAAGAAAUGCAGAAAGCUCUACAACUGGUUAAUAGAAAUGGGGUAUAGUCAUCAUCUUACUUCAUCUUCCCAGCAGCCCAGUGAAGCCAUUUUACAGAGAAGCAAAUCAAUGCUGGGAAGGACCAAUACCUUUGCCCAAGAUCCACUGAAAGAUGCAGACCUGGACUCAACUGCAUGGCCACCUGUCACCCAAGUCCAAGCAUUAGCAUCACACCAUGCUGCUUAUGGAAGAAGUGUGAGACACAGUUCCAACCCCUCCAGUAGCUAACAGGUCUCUGGGAGACAGGAUCAGUAUGAACAGAUUCAGAGGAGGAACAGAGAUAAUGUUUGUUGAAACUUGAUUCUAUGGGAUUUUCAUCAGAACUCAGAGGUUGGCACUUACCACACGGACCUACUGUAUGGAGCAGGUGGAUUGGUCAGCACAAGGGGGUGCUGUGGUGCAUCGCCCGAAUUCCCCUUCUGGACCCAAGCCACGUGGCAUGUGUGAUCCUAGUUCCCCGACCAGGGAUUGAACCUGUGCCCCCUGCAUUGGAAACUUGGAGUCUUAACCACUGGACCGCAAGGGAAGUCCCUGUAUCAUAUUUUAGAUUUCACAUGUAAGUGAUGUCAUAUGAUAUUUAUCUUUCUCUUUCUGACUUACUUCACUUAGUAUGAUAAUCUCUAGGUCCAUCCAUGUUUCUGCAAAUGGCUUUAUUUCAUUCUUUUUUAUGGCUGAUACUCUUGCCUUUUUUGUUCUGCUCUCAAGUGAUUAUCUAACAAGAGCUAGGCAUUCUUGGGCAAUAGUCAGGGGAUAGAAGAGGCAAAAUUAUUGAAUAAAAAUUGUCAAUACUCCCACUGCCUCUAUCAUUUAUCUGAAUUCAAAACUUGGGGCAGAAUGCCCUGGUCUUAAUUUAACUUUACCCUUAACAGAAAUGAGCCCAAGACAGGGAGAGACAGCAAGCCCUCUCCAAGAGUAUAGAAGGGUAAUGCCUUUUUCUUAUAAAGGGACAGAGGGCUAUUGGUGAUCCAGGCCUAGACUUGGGCCAACCAAUGUUAGAAAAUUUAUGGGCAAUGAAGAACUGGAAACAUGUAUCAAAGCCCUAAGAAGGCCUUCUCAUGCCCCAGUGGAAUCAGAUCCUGGUUUGAAGACCACACACACAUCUUGGUCAUAGUGGAGCUGGUGAAGUGAUAUUGCCUCUUCACUCUACCAGAUUCAGAAGGACUUGGAGGUAAAUCCCUCGGCCAGAAAAGGGAGGGACUAUGACCUUUUAAUGAGUAAUUAAUAAUAAUAAUAAUAGCUUUUCUUAACUUAUUCAUAGGUUUUCAUGAAUAUACUGUUAACUUUUUAUUAUUUAUGCUUAGUGCUCACACACACUGGUUUUCAUGUUUUCUUGACAUUAAAAUUGACAAGAGAUAUCUUUUAAUUCUUUUAAUAGUUAGCCAAAAUUUGAUUUUCUCUUCAGAACUUUUUUGUUUGAAGAUCUGUAAUCAUUUUGUGACUUUGUUUAAGUUCCUAUAUUGAGAUCACCCCAGAACACUUUUUAAAGGAGCAAUCUACCUAAACUGUUACACUUGGGAAAUGGCUCAAGAGAAGCUAAUUUAUCAACAUAAUGAAAUACCAUGCAGUCAACAGAAAUGGCAAUGUUGAAGGCAAAUGAUGUGGUUGUGUACAAUAGCAUUUUAAAAAAUUUUAUUGGAGCAUAAUAGAUUUACAAUGUUGUAUUAGUUUUAGGUGUACCACAUAGUGAUUUAGUUAUACAUACACAUAUAUUCAUUCUUUUUCAGAUUUUUUUCCCAUAUAAGUUAUUACAGAAUAUUGAGUAUAGUUCCCCAUGCUAUACAGUAAGUCCUUAUUGGUUAUCUAUUUUAUAUAUAGUAGAGUGUGUAUGUUAAUUCCAAGCUUACAAAGCAUCUUAAAUGCAGAAACUAGAACACUGAUAUCAGUGAGUCAGGUUAUGUUGGUUCAGAGCUGAAUUGGAGAAAUUUAACAUAUUAAGUGGAAGAUAUAUGAGGAAUUUUUUCCCUUAAAUCAUUUUCUUAAUGUGGUCAAAAUAUGUGUUGUACAAUAAAAAUAUGCAGUGAAUGUUGAGAGCAGUGAUCACUGUUAAUGAGUAAACAAAAGUGUUCCUUGCAAAUUAAUUAGUAAGUAAAAGAACUUUCAAAGGGCAACGAGCUUAAGUUAUAAAAGGGAGAGUUGGUUAUAGAAAAACCUAUUUGGCAAAAGGCUGCCAAAGAGACCCUAAAACAUCUCUCCAGGGGGUAAAUUCAAGAAAGGCCAAAGUAAUAGGCUUAUGGGGUAAUGAAAAAAUCUGCAGAAUGAAGGUCCAAGGACCUGUUGCUAAUGAUAAGCUUGAAUAUUUUGACAUCCCCUUUCAAAGCAAGAAAACUAGCCAAGGCAAAGGGAAAUGUAGUGUGUAUAAACUCAACAACCACAUAUCAAAUAUGUGUAAACCUCUGCCUCUGUGUUUCAGCAUUUGCCCCCUCUCAAGUUUCUCCUCUUUCCUCUUUCCCUCCUUCCUGGGAUCCUGGGUAAGGAAGCUUGAAUAGGGGGAGUGGUUGGUCCUUGCUCAUUAACCUAUUUAUCCCACUUGGAUUUUGCCUCUGCUCUGUCAGCUCACUGGGAUGUGCUGGCCAGUGAAGCUUACCUCAAGCUCCACUGCCUGGGAGUCUUCCUCAGCCACAGUUACUCUACAGCUCAGUUGCCUUGUUGGUUCUGAUGUCAUGUUGAAUGUAGCACCAUGUUGAAUAGAGUACCACUGUGUGGUAGGGCCCUUUGGAUGCAGCACUAUGUUGGUGGUGGCAGCAUGUUAGAGGAAUUCCAUGUUGGAUAGAGUGCCACAUUGGCAGCAGUGCCAUGUUGGAUGUAGCACCAUGUUGGCUGUGGCACCAAGUAGACGGGGGCAUGUUGGUGGGCCAUCUGUGAUUACUGAGUGCUGCAUGGGCUCUCUAAAUGACUGCUCCAGGAAAUCCAGAACAAGCUGUCUACUCUGGGAUUUCUCAUCUCACCCCAAAACUGUGGGUCCUUAGUACACAUACUGUCCUUGGAAGUUCAAUCCUGAGAGAAGUGUGGAACUAGAGCCCCAUCUCUGACUUCUUCCUGUCUUCCAAAAAAUCGAAAGAAAGUAAAAAUCACCCAUCAUUCCACCCUACAUAGAUAGCUGCUGAUGAUAUUUGCAUAAUAAUAUUUUUAUUUGUGUGUACAUUUGAAUGAAAUGGUACACGUUAUACAUAAUGUUUUAUAAUAUUUUUAUUUAGUAGUAUAUUUGUCAGUCUUCACUGUGUGUGUGUAUGUGAUCUUAUUUAUUUAUUUUAAUUUUUCUUGAAAUAUAAUUGAUUUACAAUGUUGUAUUAGUUUCACGUGUACAGCAAAGUGAUUCACAUAUAUAUGUAUAUAUAUAUUCUUUUUUAGAUUCUUUUUCAUUAUAGUUUAUUACAACAUAUUGAGUAUAGUUCCCUGUGCCAUACAGUCCUUGUUUUUUAUCUAUUUUACAUAUAGUGGUGUGUAUAUUUUAUACUCUUUUUUUUUUUUUUUUUUUUUUUUGCGGUACGCGGGCCUCUCACUGUUGUGGCCCCUCCCGUUGCGGAGCACAGGCUCUGGACGCGUAGGCUCAGCGGCCAUGGCUCACGGGCCCAGCCGCUCCGCGGCAUGUGAGAUCUUUCCAGACUGGGGCACGAACCCGUGUCCCCUGCAUCGGCAUGCGGACUCUCAACCGCUGCGGAAGCCUCCUGCCGAAUAGCAAAAUGCCUAUCUUUCCUGACCUCGUCAUCAGUGAUCACAUGGUAGCCCUGGACAUCAACAAGUCCAUCUAGUCAACCAAGCUCCUGCUUCGGUUAUUGACUGUGGGAAGAUACUGAAGUUGGUGUGUAUGCAGUGGAAGCUGAGUAUCACAUGGAUAUUCAUAAACAGUUUUAUUUCCUUAAACGCAAGUCACCUUGCUCCACAGCAACAGUUCUAGGUCCAAAGUCAAAGGAAUCUAUUUAUUAGAAAUAAAAAUAUGUAAGUGAAAGUAGCAAUGUUACAUCUACUACUUAGUAGGUGUUUUCUUCAAGUAAAGCAAAACUCUUCAGUAUGUGUGUUUGCUUCAGUGAAAUUGUAUCAUCAACUUAGCCUCAAGUCCAGGAAUUGAAGAAGAAGGAGAUAAAUCUUUACCCAGUCAGCUCACUAUUAGAGAGGAAGAAAGCUUUAAUAACUUGAUGACAACAUCACUGUCAGUUGAACACUUUACUGCAGAACCUACGGAAAUAAAUCUGGCUCCUCCACUCACCUUUGCUGACUAUACUGAAAACGAAUGACUGUUUAGUAUCACAGAAGUACACGUAACAAUCGAGCAGCCCAUGUUACUUGGAAAUUAUGGUGCCCAUAAGUAUUAAAAUGUAAAACUUAAAAAAUUUGGCUACUAAAAUAAAAUAAUUAUAAUUAUUUAUAAAAAUAAAUAAUAAUUACUAUAUAAUAAUAAUUUUGAAAUAAUUUUUAAAUAAUUCUAAUUAAAAUUUGUAUUUGAACAAAAUGUGUUUAUGGUAUACCUCUGUUAUACACAAUUAAAAUUGUUAAAGGUAUCACCAAAUUUUUAUCCAAGAAGUUUGUACUAAUGUAAAAAGUAUGUACCAAUAUACAUUUUUAAGGCUCUGGAGAUGGACUACCUAAUUGUCCUCCAGAAAACAUGAGCCAGUUGAUUCUGCAACACUGAAGAAGAAUGUCCAUUUAUCUGUUGUUAAAGGAGAAUUUUUCAAAAAAGUUAUAAUAGUGAACAGGAAUAAAUAAUGGGCAUUUAUGAAUUGCAAAGUCUUCAUAGACAUUAACUUGCCUGGUCCUUUUAGCAUCCACGUAGUAGGGCAGGCAGUAACAGCUGCUGCCUCCAUUUUACAAAGGCAG